rnacentral:rRNA from 1 species
AUUGAACGCUGGCGGCAGGCCUAACACAUGCAAGUCGAGCGAGCGGCGGACGGGUGAGUAAUGUCUGGGAAACUGCCUGAUGGAGGGGGAUAACUACUGGAAACGGUAGCUAAUACCGCAUACCAUCAGAUGUGCCCAGAUGGGAUUAGCUAGUAGGGGGGGUAACGGCUCACAUAGGCGACGAUCCCUAGCUGGUCUGAGAGGAUGACCAGCCACAUGGGAACUGAGACACGGCCCAGAUGCCUACGGGAGGCAGCAGUGGGGAAUAUUGCACAAUGGGCGCAAGCCUGAUGCAGCCAUGCCGCGUGUGUGAAGAAGGCCUUCGGGUUGUAAAGCACGUUCAGCGGGGAGGCGUUACCCGAAGAAGAAGCACCGGCUAACUCCGUGCCAGCAGCCGCGGUAAUUC